rnacentral:rRNA from 1 species
GACGAACGCUGGCGGCGUGCUUAACACAUGCAAGUCGAACGGAAAGGCCCUGCUUUUGUGGGGUGCUCGAGUGGCGAACGGGUGAGUAACACGUGAGUAACCUGCCCUUGACUUUGGGAUAACUUCAGGAAACUGGGGCUAAUACCGGAUAGGAGCUCCUGCUGCAUGGUGGGGGUUGGAAAGUUUCGGCGGUUGGGGAUGGACUCGCGGCUCAUCAGCUUGUUGGUGGGGUAGUGGCUUACCAAGGCUUUGACGGGUAGCCGGCCUGAGAGGGUGACCGGCCACAUUGGAACUGAGAUACGGCCCAGACUCCUACGGGAGGCAGCAGUGGGGAAUAUUGCACAAUGGGCGGAAGCCUGAUGCAGCAACGCCGCGUGCGGGAUGACGGCCUUCGGGUUGUAAACCGCUUUCGGCUGUGACGAAGCGUGAGUGACGGUAAUGGGUAAAGAAGCACCGGCUAACUACGUG